rnacentral:lncRNA from 1 species
AUAAAAAAACAUUAAUAUAAGGUAAGAUUUUAAUUCUUAUUCUUUUUUUUAUCUGAUUGAUAAAAUCCAAAGAAUGGGGAGGGUUUCGUAUCUAUCAAGUCGAUCAAAUAGACUGAGCAAUUGUCACCGUUUAGAGAUACUGAAAUGAAUGCCUUCCCAUUACUGAUUAACUCCUAUCUACCCCAUUCUAUGGGACUGAUGCAGCAUAAAUCAAAAGAAAAGAGGGGGGUGUCCUA